UACGUAGGGUGCGAGCGUUAAUCGGAAUUACUGGGCGUAAAGCGUGCGCAGGCGGUGAUGUAAGACAGUUGUGAAAUCCCCGGGCUCAACCUGGGAACUGCAUCUGUGACUGCAUCGCUGGAGUGCGGCAGAGGGGGAUGGAAUUCCGCGUGUAGCGGUGAAAUGCGUAGAUAUUGGGAGGAACACCAGUGGCGAAGGCGGCAUCCUGGACCAACACUGACGCUGAGGAGCGAAAGCCAGGGGAGCAAACGGG
rnacentral:rRNA from 1 species